rnacentral:rRNA from 1 species
GACGAACGCUGGCGGCGUAGCUUAACACAUGCAAGUCGAGCGGUAAGGCCCUUUCGGGGGUACACGAGCGGCGAACGGGUGAGUAACACGUGGGUGACCUGCCCUCAGCUCUGGGAUAAGCCCGGGGAAACUGGGUCUAAUACUGGAUAUGACUCCAUGACGCAUGUUGUGGGGUGGAAAGCCUUGUGCGGCUGAGGAUGGGCCCGCGGCCUAUCAGCUUGGUUGGUGGGGNGAUGGCCUACCAAGGCGACGACGGGUAGCCGGCCUGAGAGGGCGACCGGCCGACACUGGGACUGAGACACGGCCCAGGACUCCUACGGGAGGCAGCAGUGGGGAAUCUUGCGCAAUGGGCGAAAGCCUGACGCAGCGACGCCGCGUGAGGGAUGACGGCCU